CAGCAGCCACGGGAAUACAGAGGGUGCGAGCGUUAAUCGGAUUUACUGGGCGUAAAGCGUGCGUAGGCGGCUAAUUGAGUCGGAUGUGAAAUCCCCGAGCUUAACUUGGGAAUUGCAUUCGAUACUGGUUAGCUAGAGUGUGGGAGAGGAUGGUAGAAUUCCGGUGUAGCGGUGAAAUGCGUAGAGAUCUGGAGGAAUACCGAUGGCGAAGGCAGCCAUCUGGCCUAACACUGACGCUGAGGUACGAAAGCAUGGGGAGCAAACAGGAUUAGAUACCCCCGUAGUCCCUGUCUCUUAUACA
rnacentral:rRNA from 1 species